UUUAACAUGAUGGACUAUAGGACAGGACUGCUGCUUUUAACUGUCUGCUGGGCAGGUGUUGAUGGUCAGACUCUGACAGAAUCUGAACCAGUGGUUAAAAGGCCUGGAGAAUCCCACAGAUUGACCUGUACAGCCUCUGGAUUCACUUUCAGCAGCUACAACAUGAACUGGAUCAGACAGGCUCCUGGAAAAGGACCAGAGUGGAUCGCAUUUAUUGGUACUCUCAGUAGGAGCAUCUACUAUUCUCAGUCAGUUCAAGGCCGGUUUACCAUCUCCAGAGACAACAGCAGACAGCAGAUGAACAGUCUGAAGACUGAAGAUUCAGCUGUUUAUUACUGUGCUCGAGAGUCACAGUGA